AUUGAACGCUGGCGGCAGGCUUAACACAUGCAAGUCGAGCGGGGAAAUAUAGCUUGCUAUAUGACCUAGCGGCGGACGGGUGAGUAAUGCUUAGGAAUCUGCCUAUUAGUGGGGGACAACAUUUCGAAAGGGAUGCUAACACCGCAUACGCCCUACGGGGGAAAGCAGGGGAUCUUCGGACCUUGCGCUAAUAGAUGAGCCUAAGUCGGUUUAGCUAGUUGGUGGGGUAAAGGCCUACCAAGGCGACGAUCUGUAGCGGGUCUGAGAGGAUGAGCCGGCAAACGGGGACUGGGACACGGCCCAGACUCCUACGAGGGGAAGCAGUAGGGGAUUUUGGGGAAAGGGGGGAAGCCUGAACCAGCCAUGACGCGUGUGUGAAGGAGGCCGUUUGGUUGUAAAGAACUUUAAGCGAGGAGGGGGCUCCUGUAGAUAAUACCUAGGGAUAGUGGACGUUACUCGCAGAAUAAGCACCGGCUAACUCUGUGCCAGCCGCCGCCGUAA
rnacentral:rRNA from 1 species